GUAGGGAAUAUUGCACAAUGGAGGAAACUCUGAUGCAGCGACGCCGCGUGAGUGAUGAAGGCCUUCGGGUCGUAAAGCUCUGUCGCAGGGGAAUAACACAAUGAAGGUACCCUGUAAGAAAGGAUCGGCUAACUUCGUGCCAGCAGCCGCGGUAAGAUGAGGGAUCCUAGCGUUGUUCGGAAUCAUUGGGCGUAAAGCGGAUGUAGGUGGCUAUGUAAGUCAGAUGUGAAAGCCUGGGGCUCAACCCCAGAAGUGCAUUUGAUACUGCGUAGCUUGAGUGUCGGAGAGGUUACUAGAAUUGUUGGUGUAGUGGUGAAAUACGUAGAUAUCAACAGGAAUACCGGAGGCGAAGGCGGGUAACUGGCCGAACACUGACACUGAGAUCCGAAAGCGUGGGGAUCAAACAGGAUUAGAAACCCUGGUAGUCC
rnacentral:rRNA from 1 species